GACUCUCGGCAACGGAUAUCUCGGCUCUUGCAUCGAUGAAGAACGUAGCGAAAUGCGAUACUUGGUGUGAAUUGCAGAAUCCCGUGAACCAUCGAGUCUUUGAACGCAAGUUGCGCCUGAAGCCAUUAGGUUGAGGGCACGCCUGCCUGGGUGUCACAC
rnacentral:rRNA from 1 species